rnacentral:lncRNA from 1 species
GCCAAACUACAUCUUUUUUUCUGGACUAUUUUAUUCCUCAGUCUUGACCCCAAAUCCAACUUUCUGGGCCGAACCCAUGACAUCAUAAUCUGUCUGUUGCCAUCGACACAAACAGAAGUCCUAGGUGUGGAGGCAUGGCAGAGCUGUCAGAACACCUGGGGUCGACAUCCGACACUCUGUGUGAUUUUGGACAAGUUCCCACUCCUCUCGGAGCUGGUUCCUCAUCUGAAAAAUGAGGUUGCAAUACCUACCUCUGAGAUGGGGAGGGGAUCGAAUAAAAUAAGAGGUGUCAUAGCCCCGAGGAAGCGAGAAGUAAUUCCUUCAACAGCUACUCAGGAAGCACCUGGCACUGUUGCUGUCAAACAGGACGAAAAAAGGACCCGCCCUCUUGGAGUUUCCAUUCGAAGGGGGCAUUUGCACUGGAGUUAUUUGCCGGACCAGCUCUUCCUGAAGGAGCCUGUCUCUAUUUGUGAAACCACCAAGUUCCCCAUCACGUCAGAACCUCAGGAUCGUCUCUGACAGCUUUAGGACGAGAUCUCUCAAAGCUCAGGAUCCCACUGAGGAAUGCCAUUCCGUGGCUCCUGAAACCUCGGGGCUACCCCUCACCCUGAAGAUGGGCACACCCUGAGACAUCACAGCUCAGCGACUCACUGGGAGCCAGGAUGGCCAGGGUAGGCGAAGCCAAGAAGUUCCUUUAUGAUCUGACCUUUUUGGUUCCUGCUUCUUGCCCAGUGCAGCCAUGGGCAUUUUGGACACUCACUGAGAGAACUGAUGUAAAAAAAGCUCUGCAGAUGGGGAGGAUUACAACAAAGCUCUCGUGGAUGAGAGAGGCAGAAUUUCAUUUCAGCUUCACAGGAUUGUUCGAUCCUCACUGGGGAGGAGGUAACUUCUUUGGCAUGAGAGUUGAUGUGACACUGAGAUGAGAGGAAUAGGUGAGCAAAGCCUGUUUGGCGACCAGGAAGAAGAGUUGUGGGAACCAGUACCUCAAGAACUGGAGAAAAUUCUGGACCUUCACAAUUAUUACCACCAAACACUACCAACUGCCAUCACCAAGCUUCAACAAUCUCUCCCUUAGACAGCUAUCCAUUAUGGAAAUACCUGCUCAGCAUGGUUCUUCCUAAAAAUGUUGCUCUAUAUCAUGACAGUCAUUAUACACUACCUCCCAAC